AAAGAAAAUAGAGGUUGCAAUCAACAAGAGUCACUAACCAAAUCGGCAGAUUAUGCGGUUAGUAAAAGGGGCGAUUGCCGAAAUGCACCGAUUGGCAAAUCGGGGUGUUGGUCCAGGUAUUAAGAGUAACUGGACUGUCGUAAUCAAUGAUUACGGGGAGCUAUCAAAUAC
rfam:Weissella viridescens strain DSM 20410 Scaffold3, whole genome shotgun sequence.